AGCCCCAACAGCUAGCCCAACAACCAAAAAUUAACAAACCCCAUUAAUUAUCCCCCCAAGAACUAACUCCGUUUAACAAACCAUUUUUCCCCCUGAGUAUGGGAGACAGAAAAGGACCGCCCGGCGCUAUAGAAGAAGUACCGCAAGGGAAAGCUGAAAGAGAACUGAAAGAACCCAGUAAAGGCUAUAGAAGCAGAAAUGAAACCUCGUACCUUUUGCAUCAUGAUUUAGCAAGUAAUGCUCAGGCAAAGAGACCUUUAUGUUUGAAACCCCGAAACUAAGCGAGCUACUCCGAGACAGCCUAUUAUAGGGCAAACCCGUCUCUGUGGCAAAAGAGUGGGAAGAGCUCUGAGUAGAGGUGACAGACCUACCGAGCUUAGUUAUAGCUGGUUACCUAAAAAAUGAAUAGAAGUUCAGCCUUUAAAAUUCCUCCGUCAAAGAAGGCCAAGCCUCCACCAGGUACGAGCAAAUUUAAAGAGUUAUUCAAAAGAGGGACAGCUCUUUUGAAAGUAGAUACAACUUUCUCAGAAGGGAAAGGAUCAUAGCACCCAAGGAAAACUACCCAAGUGGGCCUAAAAGCAGCCACCCCUAAAGAAAGCGUUAAAGCUCAAGUCACACUUCCCCCUCAAUCCCGACAAAAACAUCCUACCCCCCUGUGAUUUAUUAGGUCCACCUGUGCACCCACAGGUAAGACAAUGCUAGAAUGAGUAAUAAGAGAGUCAGACUCUCUCAAAUGCACCCCCGUAUGUCAGAACGAACCCCCACUGAAAAUUAACGCUCCCCAAGACAAGAGGGAACUGAAACACUCACGCAAAACAAGAAAAACCCCCAAGAACCUAGCGUUAAACCCACACAGGAGUGCCCCAAUGAAAGACAAAAAGAAAAAGAAGGAACUCGGCAAACACUGGCCUCGCCUGUUUACCAAAAACAUCGCCUCUUGCCCCCCCCCCCGUAUAAGAGGUCCCGCCUGCCCUGUGACGAAAGUUUAACGGCCGCGGUAUUUUGACCGUGCGAAGGUAGCGUAAUCACUUGUCUUUUAAAUAGAGACCUGUAUGAAUGGCAUAACGAGGGCUAAGCUGUCUCCUUUUUCCAGUCAAUGAAAUUGAUCUGCCCGUGCAGAAGCGGACAUAAAUACAUAAGACGAGAAGACCCUAUGGAGCUUAAGACAACAAGAUAGCUCACGUAAAAAACCCUGGAAAAGCAGGAAUAAACCAAAUGACGCCUGUCUUAAUGUCUUUGGUUGGGGCGACCGCGGAGAAACAAAAAACCCCCACGUGGAACGGGACAAACACCUUAAAGCUAAGAGCCACAGCUCUAACAAACAGAACAUCUGACCAUCAAGAUCCGGCAAAGCCGAUUAACGGACCCAGUUACCCUAGGGAUAACAGCGCAAUCCCCUUUUAGAGCUCAUAUCGACAAGGGGGUUUACGACCUCGAUGUUGGAUCAGGACAUCCUAAUGGUGCAGCCGC
rnacentral:rRNA from 1 species